UCAUUCUUUCAUGAAAUUUCUUCCCCCAGACCCUGCUACAGGGCAUGCACGCAAUCAACUCGGUCAGAGAGGAGCCUUCAGCUUCAUGCCCAGAUGAAAGAGGACAGACUUUUAAAUGCGAGUGUUCAUUGGAAGAGAAGAAUUUUCAGUAACCAGAGAGAGAGCAGACUGAGUAAUGCAGAUGGCUCCUCCUCCCCCCAUGAGGGUGAACAUAAUCCAAGCAGUUGAAGGCCUGAAUAGAACAAAAAGGCUGACCCUCCAGUGACUAGGGGGAAGAAACCAACAACACCUAGGACAUUGGACUUCGCCUGCCUUUGGACUCAAACAGAAACAUCGUCUCUUGGGUCUCCAGCCGGCAGGCUUUCAGAUUGCAGCUUCCACCAUCAGACUGGCUUACACCAUCCGCUCUCCUGAGUCCCAGCUUGCUGACUGCAGAUCUUGAGACUUUUCAGCUCCAUAACCUCAGGAGCCAAUUCCUUAUAGUAAAUCCAUCUAUCGUCUAUCUAAAAUAAAUGUUUAUUUUUUUAUCUGUCAA